UUUUUGGCAUGCAAUUCCAUGGCAUGCAGUUAAGAUUGCUAAGUUUUUCUGGCCAGCCAAACUAUUUUUUUGGUAAAUUUGGUGAACAUAAAUGUAUCAAAUUAAGCAAAGGUAGUAGGUACAAUAUCAGAGUUAUGCAAAUGAGCUGUAAGCAGUUAAAUCUGCAUACACAAAACUUCUAUAGAUCAAGGAAGAUAAAAUCUUAGCAGGGGUGAUAGAACCCUCAGGAAGUCCCACUCUUAUUUUAGAUAUCUUUGGCAUUUGAUGGACUGCUGGAGAAGGGAGAAUUUGUUUUAUUCAGUAAUGUUUGGCCUCAGAAGAUACCACGAUUAUAUUAGAGAUCCAUACAUCCUUGAACACUUACAUAGCCUAAAUUGACAAGUUGAUAUUAAGAAGAGAGGGAGAAUGGGCUGUACAACUCUAUAGUAUGACUGGUUAUGGUUUUUCUGAAAUAAUCAUCUUUUACACUGAGGAGUUUCUUUAUGAAUGGAGAUGAGUAAAUUUAUCUUAGCAUAUUCAGACAAAUGUUUAUAAAUUGUUAUGAGAUUAGACUAUUACACAAUAUUUUGUUGUUAUAUUUGAUUAAUAAGUUUGUGGUUGACAAUUCUCCACUAUCCAUAACUUCAGUAGCACCAAGUAAUUAACUAUGUUUCUAGUACUAGGAUAUUGUUUCCCUCUGAACAGGACAUAUUAUCAAUUAGAGUGUUAGUAGAUGCCACAAAGUUAUGUAUGCUGCCACUGCACACUUGAGGUUAUUAUGCUAUGCUGUUAACUGAUGAGGUUUACAGCCAUGAUAGCUAUAUAUGACUUUUGAUUGCCUUUCUCCUUUGGAAGCUUGCCCAUUAUUUUUAUUUGUAUGUUCUUUUGGUGUCCCUAUCACCUCCAGAUUCCUCAAUACUUCCUCCAAAUUUUUCACAAGACUUCCUGAGUUCCAUCUCAUGUUUGGAUGUGGAUAUCUGCAUCUGUUUUGGUCAGCUGCUGAGUGGUGAUUUCCAGAGAACAGUUAUACUCAAUUCCUGUAUACUAGGUUCCUGACAAAGUAUCAUUAAUAGUGUUAUGAUUUAGUUCUUGCCGAAGGGAUAGAUCUCAUGUUGGGCCAGGCAUUGGUUUGUCUUUCUCCCAGUGAAUAUGAAAUCUUUGUCCCUGCACUUCUUGUAGAUAGGAAAAAUUUGGGGUUGAAGUUUUUAUUGUGAGAUAGUUUCAUUAUCUCUUCACUGGAAGUCCUCCCUGGCUAUAAGAGGUAUUCACUUUAGGGUCCAUAUCCCCUACUGCUAGGAUUCUUAGCUAGAGUCACCUUCAUAGACUUCCACAAGCCUCCUCAAUUACAGCUUGCAAGUUCAUAGUAGAUCUAUCCACAAAAUAUUCUUACACCUAAUGUUUGUGGUACAAUAAAGUGAAGUAGCAAAAAUAAAUGUCAGAGCCAGGUGAUCAGCGAGUUUUGUUAUAAUAAUGUUUCUAUGAAUAAUUUUAAAAGCUCCAUCAAUUAAAUUUCAGUAACCUGAACAUCCAAAAUUGAGCUAAACUUGAUGGGAAAGUGUUCACAAGGACUCCACCAUACUUAUAGAACAACAUGCAACUGAGGAAAUCUGGAAAAGGAAGAUGUGGCCAUUCUCAGCGAAGAUCACACAAAUUAUUUGUGUUUUAACAGAAGAUCACCUUUGAGAAUGUGUAUUGAAGUAACAUUAAACUUACUAAUCAGAUUAUAUUUAAGAAUAUAUAGGUAUAUGCAUGUAUACAUCCAACAAAAAUUAGUAAAAGGGGGACAUAAAUUUGAAAGAUAUUGUGAUGUGGUUUAUUGG
rnacentral:lncRNA from 1 species